CCGCCACUGCUGAGAGUCAGCCUACCUGGUUGAUCCUGCCAGUAGCAUAUGCUUGUCUCAAAGAUUAAACCAUGCAAGUUUAAGUACACAUGGCCGGUAAAGUGAAACUGCGAAUGGCUCAUUAAAUCAGUUAUGGUUCCUUUGGUCGCUCCCAGUUACAUGGAUAACUGUGGUAAUUCUAGAGCUAAUACAUGCCAACGAGCACUGACCCCUCACGGGAUGCGUGCAUUUAUCAGACCCAAAACCCAUGCGGGGUGGUCCCGGGCCGGUUCCAACCUCGGGACGCAGGGCGCCC